GAUGAACGCUGACAGAAUGCUUAACACAUGCAAGUCGAUGGGGAAGUGGUGCUUGCACCAUGGCAACCAUGGCGGACGGGUGAGUAACGCGUAAGGGACUUACCUGCAGGACUGGGAUAACAGGGGGAAACUCCUGACAAGACCGGAUAAUGUCAUGGAGCUGCAUGGCUUUAUGAUGAAAGGAGACGCCUGCGGAGAGCCUUGCGUCCUAUUAGCUAGUUGGUGAGGUAAUGGCUCACCAAGGCGAAGAUAGGUAGCCGGCCUGAGAGGGUGGACGGCCACAAGGGGACAGAGAUACGGCACUUACUCCUACGGGAGGAAGCGGUGGGGAAUAUUGGACAAUGGGGGCAACCCUGAUCCAGCAAUUCGGUGUGCACGAAGAAGGUUUUCGGAUUGAAAAGUGCUUGCAGCAGGAAAGAAGUAAGUGACGGUACCUGAAGAAGAAGCGACGGCUAAAUACGUG
rnacentral:rRNA from 1 species